AUUGAACGCUGGCGGCAUGCCUUACACAUGCAAGUCGAACGGCAGCACGGGAGCAAUCCUGGUGGCGAGUGGCGAACGGGUGAGUAAUAUAUCGGAACGUGCCCAGUCGUGGGGAUAACGUAGCGAAAGCUACGCUAAUACCGCAUACGGUCUACGGAUGAAAGCGGGGGAUCGCAAGACCUCGCGCGAUUGGAGCGGCCGAUAUCAGAUUAGGUAGUUGGUGAGGUAAAGGCUCACCAAGCCGACGAUCUGUAGCUGGUCUGAGAGGACGACCAGCCACACUGGGACUGAGACACGGCCCAGACUCCUACGGGAGGCAGCAGUGGGGAAUUUUGGACAAUGGGCGCAAGCCUGAUCCAGCAAUGCCGCGUGCAGGAUGAAGGCCUCGGUUGUAACUGCUUUGUUACGGUAACGAACGGUA
rnacentral:rRNA from 1 species